CGGGGCCCGCCACAAGCAGCAGAGCAUGUGGCUUAAUUCGACGCAACGCGAAGACCCUUACCAAGGCUUGACAUACGCCGGAAAGCCGUAGAGAUACGGUCCCCCUUGUGGUCGGUGUACAGGUGGUGCAUGGUUGUCGUCAGCUCGUGUCGUGAGAUGUUGGGUUAAGUCCCGCAACGAGCGCAACCCUCGUUCUGUGUUGCCAGCGGGUCAUGCCGGGGACUCACAGGAGACUGCCGGGGUCAACUCGGAGGAAGGUGGGGAUGACGUCAAAUCAUCAUGCCCCUUAUGUCUUGGGCUGCACACGUGCUACAAUGGCCGGUACAAUGAGCUGCGAUGCCGUGAGGUGGAGCGAAUCUCAAAAAGCCGGUCUCAGUUCGGAUUGGGGUCUGCAACUCGACCCCAUGAAGUCGGAGUUGCUAGUAAUCGCAGAUCAGCAUUGCUGCGGUGAAUACGUUCCCGGGCCUUGUACACACCGCCCGUCACGUCACGAAAGUCGGUAACACCCGAA
rnacentral:rRNA from 1 species